AGUGAACGCUGGCGGUAGGCCUAACACAUGCAAGUCGAACGGCAGCACAGUAAGAGCUUGCUCUUACGGGUGGCGAGUGGCGGACGGGUGAGGAAUACAUCGGAAUCUACUUUUUCGUGGGGGAUAACGUAGGGAAACUUACGCUAAUACCGCAUACGACCUACGGGUGAAAGCAGGGGAUCUUCGGACCUUGCGCGAUUGAAUGAGCCGAUGUCGGAUUCGCUAGUUGGCGGGGUAAAGGCCCACCAAGGCGACGAUCCGUAGCUGGUCUGAGAGGAUGAUCAGCCACACUGGAACUGAGACACGGUCCAGACUCCUACGGGCGGCAGCAGUGGGGAAUAUUGGACAAUGGGCGCAAGCCUGAUCCAGCCCUACCGCGUGGGUGAAGAAGGCCUUCGGGUUGUAAAGCCCUUUUGUUGGGAAAGAAAAGCAGCAGGUUAAUACCCCGCUGUUCUGACGGUACCCAAAGAAUAAGCACCGGCUAACUUCGUG
rnacentral:rRNA from 1 species